rnacentral:lncRNA from 1 species
GAAAGGUUUGUUGAGCAUCUGCUAUUCUGCUCUUCUAGGAACAAGGAUUUGACAAUAAACGAGAUAGAGCCUGUCUUCUCAGGAGCUUACAACAGACAAUAAACACAUUAAAAAGUAAACAAACAAGUUGAGAUGUAGUGGAUUUGACUAGUAUUUCUCUCUUUGGAAUGAAUUAUAACCACAUUAAAAUCUUACUUGUGAUGUUCUUGAUGUUACAUGUUCAUGUAAGAGAACAUCUUCCGCUUAAGGAAUUGAUGUAUGAAUCCUAGCAAAAAACUGAGUAAGUCAGGAUAUCUUCUGACUUUCUUUUCCAGUUCCACAAGAUGUAAGCAGAAACUGGAGAUGCUACACAUUCUCUUUUGGUAGAAGAACAUUGCACUUGACUACAACAAGAUUUUAAGCCUGAUUUUUAUAUAUCGAAUUGUGUUUGUUCACAAUUCAAACUGGCUAAAGACUGAAUUCCAGGCUAAUAUUCAUAGUGUGGUUCCAGCAACUGGAAAAUGGAUUGUGUUUCCUUUCAGCCUUCUAAUUCCUGGAUGAAAUGAGUAUACAGUCACGUACCACAUAAUGACAUUUCCUGACUGCAUAUAUGACGGUGGUCCUGUAAGAUUACAAAUACCACUUAGGAAAGAAGCUUCAUAUUACAACAGGCUGACGUGUUUUCAGCUCAAGAGUAGAGACUUCUGUCAAUCAUGUGGGAUCAUGAGUGCCUCAAGUGUUGGAGGUCCAUGCAUUGACCAAGAAGAACUCCAGCUGCUUCAGACUGCUUGACUGUCACUGAAAAGUACACCCAAUAUGAAGAAGAUUGCAGUUAACUGAAUAUUAAAAUUAGAUGUCUUGAUGAGGCAAAUCAUUUCAACAUAUUUCUUCCCUUUCUCUGAUUUCCUCUCAUGUGUAUUAUAACAGCUGUAGUAGCAGAGGGCUCCAGAAGGAACUGCUCUCACCCUUACCUGCACUGUUUUGUUGAAAAGGAAUGUUUCUGAUUUUAUCUCCUCAUUUUUACUACUUCUUGUUAUCUUUUUUUUAAGUUUUAUUUUCCUGGUACAACACGUGAAGGACCUCAGGGCUUUUGGCAUGUGUGUUAGCCAGAGAUGUUCUACAGUUUCUUUAGUGAUAUGAGACAAUCUUCUUUUCUUCUUCUUCUUUUGGGGAGAGUGUUUCAAGCCCUGAGGGCUUAAUAUUGCCAUUUUCACAUUUGGAUGGAAUUUUUCCAAAUGUCUUGUGAGCCUUGCCAGUGGUGGCAAGCUGUAAUUGGUCAAAAAUGAAAGUGAAAACUUAAUGAAAACUAAGUUUCCAGUCUCAUCUUUAUGGCCAAUUUCCCAGGUAACCUUGAGACAGUCCUAAUUGCAUGAGGCAUAGUGGGAAUGAUAAUAUCUUACCGAUGGAUAGGCUUGUUGUAUAACUAAAUGAAGUCACAUCUGCAAAUCG